GAAUGCCUGAAAUUUAAUUGAGGUAAAAGAAAUGUUCUUAUCAGAAGGCACAAUAGACCUUCCCAGUUUUGUUUGUGGCAGAGUUCAGGAGCCCUCCCCACGACUUACUCUACCUUCCCCCACUUCAGAUAUUAACCUGGACAUCAUGCCUUCCAAACAGUAAAUGAGCUGUGCCAUGUUUUAUUACAUUUCUCAUGUGGCUAAGCUUAGGGUGGCUUUUAAGUGUUCCUCAGCACGCCGUGCUUACGCAAGUUAUUUUCUGCUGUGGAUUGUUGAUGCUGCAGCAGCAGAUAGAGUGAUGUGCCUUGAAUUCCAAUGAGGAGAAGGCGUUGGUUUAUUUGGGUAUUUUGAGUACAGAGGAGCCCCAGGAGAAGCUGGACAAGAGUCCACGGAAUGGACUGCAGUGUCAGAGAUGGGAGCCAUCGGGAUGCCUUUCCAGCCUCUUUUGACUGAAGACAGUCAGGUAAUUCCCACAGACGUGGAGCAAAAAACCCUGAGAAAAUCCUGACACAGGCUUUUGAUCGGAUUUUACACAACUGAGUUCUGCGUGGAGAAAGCGAGGAGGGAACUACAAAGUUAAGCCUGUAAGAUGCUCUCCGUGCCCAGAACUGUUGGCCAUUGAUUUGGCAGGAGAAACUGGCAAAAAAAAAAAAAAAGCCUAUAAAUGUGAGCCUGGGAGUAGGUCUGCUGGAGGACACCACCACUGCCUGAUCUGCAUGCUCCUUUAUGGGGUUCAUCCUCGUUCAGGAGAACUCUCCAAGUUUCUUCGGGCAAUCAUGCAUGCAGGGGCUUGGCGUUAUUUCUGGUUAAAGAAGCUUCACGCCUUGUGUCACAAAUCUCACCUUUGAAGAAACGAUGCAUUUAAAGGUAGGCACAAAAGACUUCAACUGCAGAGCUCCAAACAGGAGGUUUACAUUGAACUAAGGGUGGAAAUGGUUUGGGCCCUUCCAGAAGCACCAUCUGUUUCU
rnacentral:lncRNA from 1 species